UUAAACCAAUUUUACUUUAUGAAUAUAUUCAUGACAUUUGUAAUAAAUGUCUUGAGAAAGAAUCUGUUUCAUGGCUUCAUGGUCAUCACUCAGCUCCCCUAAGGAUGUUACCGUCUCAGAAAAAGAUCAGGGCUCUGUGUCCCAGUCCUGCCAUCUUUCUUUCCUCUUGUCGAGUUCCGAGUGGAAAUACUGCAUUAUGGCUGCUUGAACCUCAGUCAUCAAAAGAAACUUGCUGUUUUUUAGGCUUAAUCUUCUUCCUUUGUGGUUAAUUUUCCUGUAUAUUGUGAAAAUGGGGGAUUUCCCCUCUGCCCCCACCCACCUAAACACAGCAGCCAUUUGUACCUGUUUGCUUCCCAUCCCACUUGGCACCCACUCUGGCCCCUGUCAGUUUCCUCUUCCUGGUUCAGUAUUUUUGAAAAAGGCCCUCCUUUGAGCUACAAACAUCUGGUGAGACAAGUACAUCCCCCCGUGAAUGCAGACACAGCAGCUGGUGGUUUUGUGUAUACCCAUAAAGGCAAGAUAAGCUGAGAAGCCUUACUUUUUGGGGAGGGAAAAGAAGAUGGAAAUGGAUGUUUCAUUUGUAUGAAUUUGGAGCAGUGCUGAAGGCCAAAGCCGCCCACUGGUUUGUAAUUAACCUAGAGAAGGUUGAAAAGUGAAUCCUACCUUUAAAGGGAUUUGAGGUAGGCUGGAUUCCAUCGCCACAGGACUUUAGUUAGAAUUAAAUUCCUGCUUGUGAUUUAUAUCCAUGUUUAGGCUUUUCAUAAGAUGAAACAUGCCACAGUGAACACACUUGUGUACAUAUCAAGAGAAGAAGGAAAGGCACAGGUGACUGUGGCUCCUUUCCUGGCUUUAGAGAACAAUAAAAGGUGGGCAGAUGUCUUUGAAGAAAUGCUCAGUGUUUGAUGUUAAGUGGAAGAAGGCAGAGAACAAAGAAUGUGGCAUCGUGGUCUUACAUUAUCCAGAGACUUGAAGCUGCACAUCUGUAAGUCAAGGGUUACACAAAACAUGCAAAUGGUGUUUCAUUGGAAUUACCAAGUGCUUAGAACUUGAGGAAAACUCGCUUUCCCAUAGGUGGUGAAGGGGUCUGAGCUCACACCGAGUUGUGCUUGCCCUGCUUGUGUAGCUCCAGGCACCCCGUGGGCACUGUCUUGGUGUUUGUGGUGAACUGAAUGGAAUCCAUUGUUGGACUUAAGUUACUGAAAUUGGACCACCCUUUGUCCCUCUAGGUGGGGGCUUCCUGGUCUGUGCUUUACUUGCCUUUUUUCCUUCCCUUUUUAGCCUCACCCCCUUGUAAACCAGAUUGAGUUGCUAUAGCUUGAUGCAGGUACCCAGUGAAGUUUCUCCAUAAAAGAUUGGGAGUCGUUGAAAUGUUUAGAUUCUUUUAGGAAAGGAGUUAUUUUCCCCCCUUUUACAGGGUAGUGACUUCUCCACAGAAGUGCCAAUAUGGCAAAAUUACACGAGAAAACAGUAUCGUAAUGAUACCAUUACAUACGGAACAUUGAACUGUUACAGGAGUGCUCUUCCAAACAAAACAAAAAUGUCUCUAGGUUUACUCAAAGCUUUCGUAAGUAAUAACCUUUCUGUAUUGAAAUCAGAGUAACCCUUUCUGUAUUGAGUGCAGUGUUCUUACUUUUUUCUCAUGCACAUGUUAAUGUUGGAGAAAAUGUUUACAAAAAUGAUUUUGUUACACUAAUGCGCACCACAUAUUUAUGGUUUAUUUUAAGUGAUUUUUUUUUUAUGGGUUAUUUAGGUUUUCGUCUUAGUUGUAGCACACUUACCCUAAUUUUGCCAAUUAUUAAUUUGCUAAAUAGUAAUACAAAUGACAAACUGCAUUAAAUUUACUAAUUAUAAAAGCUGCAAAGCAGACUGGUGGCAAGUACACAGCCCUUUUUUUUGCAGUGCUAACUUGUCUACUGUGUAUUAUGAAAAUUACUGUUGUCCCCCCAACCUUUUUUCCUUAAAUAAAGUAAAAAUGACACCUA